rnacentral:rRNA from 1 species
UACCAGCACCCCGAGUGGUUGGGACGAUUAUUGGGCCUAAAGCAUCCGUAGCCGGUCCUACAAGUCUUCCGUUAAAUCCAGCUGCUUAACAGAUGGGCUGCGGAAGAUACUAUGGAGCUAGGAGGCGGGAGAGGCAAGCGGUACUCGAUGGGUAGGGGUAAAAUCCGUUGAUCCAUUGAAGACCACCAGUGGCGAAGGCGGCUUGCCAGAACGCGCUCGACGGUGAGGGAUGAAAGCUGGGGGAGCAAACCGG